ensembl:rRNA 5S_rRNA 5S ribosomal RNA
GCCUGCAGCCAUACUACUCUGAAUGUACCCAAUCUCAUCUGAUCUCAGAAGCUAAUCAGGGUCAGGCCUGGUUAGUACUUAGGUGGGAGAACUGAAGGAAUUUAACUGAAGAAACAAGAUAGUUGUCGGAA